UCAUAUGAGACGUCCGAACCUGUUUAUAUUACACGAGACACCUGAUGGACUAAACUCCGCUAUUUCUGACUUCAUUGCUGGAGCUAGAGAAACUGAAAUACUCACACUUCACUUGUGGCCACUUCUGCGCUACCAAAGGCUCUCCACAACAGAAACAUUACUGCUGAUGUAAAUGUUCCCGCUUCAGUGCCUCUGGCUGUGUCAUUCACAUGCGUAAGAAAAUUCAAACCAUCGAAUGUCACUCAAGUUUAUUUGGAAGAGAAGACUAAUGUCAGAUAGCAGAAGGUAACAGCAUUUAGAAGAUUCUUGGACCCAACAUUGCUGUGAAGAUGAGCCAUCUGUGAUACAGAUAUCUUAAUUUAAAGAUAGGACAUUAUUUUACGGAAUUUUAUUUGUUUAAUUCUGGUCAGUCACUCUAACAAUUACAAAG